AGAGAGUAUUCUUUUUGGAUGAAAAUACGACGAGAUGUUGGAGAUAAUUAAUUACAUUUUUCACGCAAGAAAGCUGUGAAAGUCUAAUUUUUAUGGUUAAAAUAUUGGAAGACAACCUAAACUUUUUAAAUCAAAUAAAUUAUUAUUGUUAUUGACAAAGCAGUGGGCUAGAUUACUGACACGAAAUUUUGAAAAUGAGUCUUAAUAGAAUGAAU
rnacentral:lncRNA from 1 species